UGGGGAAUAUUGGACAAUGGGCGGAAGCCUGAUCCAGCCAUGCCGCGUGUGUGAAGAAGGCCUUUUGGUUGUAAAGCACUUUAAGCGAGGAGGAGGCUACUUGGAUUAAUACUCAAGGAUAGUGGACGUUACUCGCAGAAUAAGCACCGGCUAACUCUGUGCCAGCAGCCGCGGUAAUACAGAGGGUGAGCGCGUUAAUCGGAUUUACUGGGCGUAAAGCGUGCGUAGGCGGCUUCUUAAGUCGGAUGUGAAAUCCCUGAGCUUAACUUAGGAAUUGCAUUCGGUACUGGGAUGCUAGCGUAUGGGAGAGGCUGGUAGAAUUCCAGGUGUAGCGGUGAAAUGCGUAGAGAUCUGGAGGAAUACCGAUGGCGAAGGCAGCCAUCUGGCCUAAUACUGACGCUGAGGUACGAAAGCAUGGGGAGCAAACAGG
rnacentral:rRNA from 1 species